rnacentral:rRNA from 1 species
ACUACGUGCCAGCAGCCGCGGUAAUACGUAGGGUGCGAGCGUUAAUCGGAAUUACUGGGCGUAAAGCGUGCGCAGGCGGUUUUGUAAGACAGAUGUGAAAUCCCCGGGCUUAACCUGGGAACUGCAUUUGUGACUGCAAGACUAGAGUGUAGCAGAGGGGGGUAGAAUUCCACGUGUAGCAGUGAAAUGCGUAGAGAUGUGGAGGAAUACCGAUGGCGAAGGCAGCCCCCUGGGCUAACACUGACGCUCAUGCACGAAAGCGUGGGGAGCAAACAGGAUUAGAUACCCUGGUAGUCCACGCCCUAAACGAUGUCAACUAGGUGUUGGGGAAGGAGACUUCUUUAGUACCGCAGCUAACGCGUGAAGUUGACCGCCUGGGGAGUACGGUCGCAAGAUUAAAACUCAAAGGAAUUGACGGGGACCCGCACAAGCGGUGGAUUAUGUGGAUUAAUUCGAUGCAACGCGAAAAACCUUACCUACCCUUGACAUGCCAGGAAGAUCGCAGAGAUGUGAUUGUGCCCGAAAGGGAACCUGGACACAGGUGCUGCAUGGCUGUCGUCAGCUCGUGUCGUGAGAUGUUGGGUUAAGUCCCGCAACGAGCGCAACCCUUGUCAUUAAUUGCCAUCAUUUAGUUGGGCACUUUAAUGAGACUGCCGGUGAUAAACCGGAGGAAGGUGGGGAUGACGUCAAGUCCUCAUGGCCCUUAUGGGUAGGGCUUCACACGUAAUACAAUGGUCGGUACAGAGGGUUGCCAACCCGCGAGGGGGAGCUAAUCUCAGAAAGCCGAUCGUAGUCCGGAUUGUAGUCUGCAACUCGACUACAUGAAGUCGGAAUCGCUAGUAAUCGCGGAUCAGCAUGUCGCGGUGAAUACGUUCCCGGGUCUUGUACACACCGCCCGUCACACCAUGGGAGUGGAAUCUGCCAGAAGUAGGUAGCCUAACCGCAAGGAGGGCGCUUACCACGGUGGGUUUCAUGACUGGGGUGAAGUCGUAACAAGGUAACC